UUUUAUAUUUCUGCAUUUACUUAGGAAUUAAGUCAUAAAAGAAUAAGAAAUAUAUAUAUAUAUUUAUUUAUCCACUAAUAAAUUUGGGAAACACUGGUCUAAAAAAAGUAAAAUAUAUAUACCGUUACCCAAGAACUGAUUCAUUUAUGUAUUUUAUUCAUAUUGUUAAGUCUUAACUGUUAUUGUAUAUGACUAGGCACUUCAAUAGAAUAAAAGUAACUAUAAACAGGAUGUCUAGUUUGAUAGGUUUUAAUGAUCUGAUGAAUCGAAUAAUGGAUGACAAAACAAUAUCAACAAACGAAAAAAAAAAAAUCAAGGUGUGUAUCAUGUCAGCCACCAAUGAAACCCAGGCAAUGAUUUAAGAAAGGAAAUGAUUCAAAUCCUAAUCAAAGUUGAUGUGUUACUGCUUUAUAUGGGGGGAAGAGAAAAUAGUUUGAAGCAACACACCAGUGAGACAUGUCUAUGUUUGUGUGAAUGUAUAGGCCAUACUUUUUGAUACUGAGGUAAACAAAAGCUAAUGAGUCUAAAUGAUUUUUUUUUUGCAUGUCAUAAUUCAAAUAAGUUAUAUACAAUACAUACAGGGUUGGUCAUAUACAAAAUAUACAUGAAUGGACUGACAAUGGACAACUCAAUGCUAUGUUAUGAAGGAAUAACAUCCUAGCCACAAAAUGAUAUUUUCAAUGAAAACAUACUUUAAAAAUGUUAAUACAAAAAUAGUUGAAUCAUGUUAUAUAACUACCCUAUAUAUUAAAAUAAUGUUCCUGUUAAAAUAAUCCAGUGUAAACAUAAUUCUCUAUUGUAAUAUUUCUAUGUCAAAGUAACCUUCCAAGUUCUCCACUGCCAUUGACUGGGACAGUUUUUAAUGAAGGUUUAAGUGAAAGCCUGCAAUUGACAUCUGUACAUUCCAUUGAAUGACAAUUUUAUUUCCUACUGACAACCACUUUUUUCUACCUCAGGAAAUACAAUUGGGAUUUUUUUUUUUUUGGGUUAAAUGAAUCUUUUUGGGCCAUUACCAUUUAGGAAUAUUUUACAAGUUUUGCUAAUGCUUCACUCUUUACUUUAUUCAUACUAUUUCUGUACAUGUAGGCUCUAAACACACUAAAGGGCCAGAUAGUCAAUGCAAAUGAGAAUGAGAGUGUUUAUAAAAAAAAUCAUGAGAAAAGAUGUGGAGGUUUAAGACAGCUUGGAGACAUAAAAGAUGGGGGGGGGGGGGGGGGGG